GUGUGAAUAGUUUAAUUGGGAGAACGUAGGCACUGUUUAGAAUCUAAGGUGGUAGAUCGAAGCUACCUUCACACU